ACGGAAGGCAGCAGUAGGGAAUUUUCGGCAAUGGGGGAAACCCUGACCGAGCAAUGCCGCGUGAAUGAUGAAAUUCUUCGGAAUGUAAAGUUCUGUUAUAAGGGACGAAUGUAUAAUUUAGGAAAUGAUUUUAUAUUGACGGUACCUUACUAGAAAGCUCCGGCUAACUAUGUGCCAGCAGCCGCGGUAAUACAUAGGGAGCAAGCGUUAUCCGGAUUUAUUGGGCGUAAAGAGUGCGUAGGCUGCUAUUUAAGUCUGCUUUGAAAUCCCAUGGCUUAACCAUGGUGGGUGAGUGGAAACUGGAUAGCUUGAAUGCAGCAGAGGUAAGUGGAAUUCCAUGUGUAGCGGUAAAAUGCUUAGAUAUAUGGAGGAACACCAGUGGCGAAGGCGGCUUACUGGGCUGUGAUUGACGCUGAGGCACGAAAGCGUGGGGAGCAAACAGGAUUAGAUACCCUGGUA
rnacentral:rRNA from 1 species